GACGUAGGGCGCGAGCGUUGUCCGGAUUUAUUGGGCGUAAAGAGCUCGUAGGCGGCUUGUCGCGUCGAAUGUGAAAUCUCAGGGCUCAACUCUGACAUUGCAUUCGAUACGGGCAGGCUCGAGUUCGGUAGGGGAGACUGGAAUUCCUGGUGUAGCGGUGAAAUGCGCAGAUAUCAGGAGGAGCACCGGUGGCGAAGGCGGGUCUCUGGGCCGAUACUGACGCUGAGGAGCGAAAGCGUGGGGAGCGAACAGG
rnacentral:rRNA from 1 species